rnacentral:rRNA from 1 species
UACGGGGGAGCAAGCGUUGUUCGGAUUUACUGGGCGUAAAGGGCGCGUAGGCGGUCAGCACAAGUCAGUUGUGAAAUCUCCGGGCUUAACCCAGAAAGGUCAACUGAUACUGCGGGGCUAGAGUGCAGAAGGGGCAACUGGAAUUCUCGGUGUAGCGGUGAAAUGCGUAGAUAUCGAGAGGAACACCUGCGGCGAAGGCGGGUUGCUGGGCUGACACUGACGCUGAAGCGCGAAAGCUAGGGGAGCGAACGGG